UAGUUCUAACCCUAAACGAUGCUGACUAGCAAUUCGCCGUCGUUAUUCCCAUGACGUGGCGAGACGCCCCCGGGAAACCUCAAGUCUUUGAGUUCCGGGGGUAGUAUGGUUGCAAAACUGAAACUUAAAGGAAUUGACGGAAGGGCACCACCAGGAGUGGAGCCUGCGGCUUAAUUUGACUCAACACGGGAAACCUCACCAGGCCCGGACACCAGAAGGAUUGACAGAUUAAGAGCUCUUUCUCGAUUUGGUGGGUGGUGGUGCAUGGCCGUUCUUAGUUGGUGGAGUGAUUUGUCUGGUUAAUUCCGGUAACGAACGAGACUCUGGCCUACUAACUAGUGGAUGGGUGUUCUGGUGCAUGGGCCCCAUCCGAUAAUGUCUUCUUAGAGGGAUGAGCAGCGAGUAUAGCUGCAGGAGAUUGAGCAAUAACAGGUCUGU
rnacentral:rRNA from 1 species